UCCCUGAUGGUCUAGUGGUUAGGGUUCGGUGUUUUCGCCGCCGCUGCCCGGGUUCGAUUCCCGGUCGGGGAC